GUGUCCGCGGCUGCAGCGCUCAAUUGCUUCAGACCUAGGGCUAUUCUAAUUUAUGCUUGAGGCUACCUUUUACUUAGAGAAUCCUGGUUUCGUGACACUACAGACCAAUAGACAUGUUUGAAAGUCAACAAAGGUCUAGUCUAGCAUCUUUUUUUUUUUACAGGUCAGGAACAUUUCAUGGGUAAAUGCUUCUGCCGAGGAGAAAGAUCUAAGACGCAUUAGCGCCUCUUGCACUUCAGUCUCUUUCUGUACCUCGCCCAGACCAGUCCCCCCUACAAGAUCACUAUGCCUCCUCACAGGAAUGUUUUUUCCCAGCAGUACCCAAGGAACCAAUGCAGCAGGACAUUUCAGCUGAAGAGGGAUUUUCCUCUUCAGACAAAGAGCUUGUUUUGCGUAAUUUUGCUCACACUACAAUGCAAAGCCUUAACUCUCACCCCAGCAAGAUCUAGUGAUGACAGCCCCUCUCUACCAUUUCAUACUUAAGUUUCCAGUGAGAUGAAUGCUG